rnacentral:rRNA from 1 species
AAAUAGAUACCCCGGUACGUCCACGCCGUAAACGUUGGGCGCUAGAUGUGGGGACCUUUCCACGGUUUCCGUGUCGUAGCUAACGCAUUAAGCGCCCCCGCCUGGGGAGUACGGCCGCAAGGCUAAAAACUCAAAGGAAUUGAACGGGGGCCCGCACAAGCGGCGGAGCAUGCGGAUUAAUUCGAUGCAACGCGAAGAACCUUACCAAGGCUUGACAUACACGAGAACGGGCCAGAAAUGGUCAACUCUUUGGACACUCGUGAACAGGUGGUGCAUGGUUGUCGUCAGCUCGUGUCGUGAGAUGUUGGGUUAAGUCCCGUCAACGAGCGCAACCCUCGUCGCAUGUUGCCAGCACGUUAUGGUGGGGACUCAUGUGAGACUGCCGGGGUCAACGUCGGAGGAAGAGUGGGGGAUAGACGUACAAAGUCAUCCAUCGUCCCCUUACUGUCUUGGGUCCUUCACGCAUGCUAACGAAUAGGGCCGGUAACGAAAGGGCCGUGCGAGUGUACGUAAGGACGGACGCGAACUACCCGAAAAACGCGGUUC